GAUGAACGCUAGCGAUAGGCCUAACACAUGCAAGUCGAGGGGCAGCAUAAAGGUAGCAAUACUUUGGUGGCGACCGGCGCACGGGUGAGUAACGCGUAUGCAACCUACCUACUACAAGGGGAUAACCCGGAGAAAUUCGGACUAAUACUCUAUAAUACAGGGGUCCCGCAUGGGAAUAUUUGUUAAAGAUUUAUUGGUAGUAGAUGGGCAUGCGUUCCAUUAGGUAGUUGGUGAGGUAACGGCUCACCAAGCCAUCGAUGGAUAGGGGAACUGAGAGGUUUAUCCCCCACACUGGAACUGAGACACGGUCCAGACUCCUACGGGAGGCAGCAGUGAGGAAUAUUGGUCAAUGGAGGCAACUCUGAACCAGCCAAGUCGCGUGAAGGACGACGGCCCUACGGGUUGUAAACUUCUUUUGUAAGGGAAUAAAGUUUAGUACGUGUACUAUUUUGCAUGUACCUUACGAAUAAGGAUCGGCUAACUCCGUGCCAGCAGCCGCGGUAAUACGGAGGAUCCGAGCGUUAUCCGGAUUUAUUGGGUUUAAAGGGUGCGCAGGCGGGAUGUUAAGUCGGCGGUGAAAUUUUGCGGCUCAACCGUAAAAGUGCCUUCGAAACUGGCAUUCUUGAGUGUAGAUGAAGUAGGCGGAAUUUGUGGUGUAGCGGUGAAAUGCAUAGAUAUCACGAGGAACUCCGAUUGCGCAGGCAGCUUACUAAGCUACAACUGACGCUCAUGCACGAAGGCGUGGGGAUCAAACAGG
rnacentral:rRNA from 1 species